rnacentral:rRNA from 1 species
UACGUAGGGGGCAAGCGUUGUCCGGAUUUACUGGGCGUAAAGAGUGUGUAGGCGGCCAAGCAGGUCCGUUGUGAAAACUGGAGGCUUAACCUCCAGACGUCGACGGAAACCGCGUGGCUAGAGUCCGGAAGAGGAGAGUGGAAUUCCUGGUGUAGCGGUGAAAUGCGCAGAUAUCAGGAAGAACACCAAUGGCGAAGGCAGCUCUCUGGGACGGUACUGACGCUGAGACGCGAAAGCGUGGGGAGCGAACAGG